UACGAAGGACCCGAGCGUUAUCCGGAUUUAUUGGGUUUAAAGGGUGCGUAGGCGGAUUAGUAAGUCAGUGGUGAAAGCCCAUCGCUUAACGGUGGAACUGCCAUUGAUACUGCUAGUCUUGAGUAUGGUUGAGGUGGGCGGAAUGUGUCAUGUAGCGGUGAAAUGCUUAGAUAUGACCCAGAACACCAAUUGCGAAGGCAGCUCGCUAAACCAUAACUGACGCUGAGGCACGAAAGCGUGGGGAGCAAACAGG
rnacentral:rRNA from 1 species